ensembl:lncRNA
CCAGGCGCCAAGUUUAAUGGAUGUGGGCGAAGAUGGGAGAACAGAAACACCACAGCUGUGACGUCAAGGCCAGAUGGAGGGCGGCAGCUGGAGAAAGAUGAGUCAAAGUAGAAUUUUCUAAAUGAAAAGCCAUUUCCAACCCGAGUUUGGAAGGAGGACGCAUGGCUGCUGCCCAGCCACGGGCCUCUGGGGCCCCAAGAACUGACGUGGGCUCUUCAACCCUGGAGGCAUUUCAUAAACUUCUUACAACCAGAAAAUCAUAAUUACCAUCUCUGCAAUCAUUUCCCAUUUCUUUCCAACUGCCGUCUGUCAAGAGGUGCCGGCCGCGGAAACCCCGUGUACCUUGCGCAGUCACUAAUUAAUCCCAGAAGACGGCACCAGCUAAGUGGAAAUGCGUUAUUUGAAAAAGAUGGAAGGAAACCAGCCGCCAUAAGAAACCAGAGAGGGAGGGCAACUCUUUGCGUCACUGUGGAAAACCAAAACGAUGGAGGAGAUGGUUUGCAAAACGCAAACUCAAACUCAGUCCCUGACAGUAAGUGCUGGAAAUAGCAGUUCCAGCGUGGAGACUUUUCAAUGGCGGCCUUGGGACUGCGCGGCUCUGGGGACAUUUCUCAGUGUCACGUGGGGCGUUUUUACUCACUGUUCACUUCUGGACGCUUUUAGAAAAUCUGAAUUUUCUGUUUCUCAACUCAGUUUCUUUCUCUUCUGCCCCCAAAUCACGCGUUCUCUUCUCUCUGAGUGAAUUGCUAAAUAGGAAGGACAUCUAUCUCUACAUGGUCAAGCUUUGCUGUUUGCCUUUAAACACGUUUCCCAGGUCUUGAAAACAUCGAAACGUCUCCAAGUCCUGUGUUCCCUUUUCUGGGGACGUGACUGUGGCUGUGAGGUUCCCGUCCCAAAGCGCAGACCCACCUGGCGUCUCUGCCAGCGCCUCCUCUGCCAGCCUCUGGCACUGCGCAUGCCCAGCUGCCUUCUCGCCUGUGCAGCAGACAUGUGACCUGAGCUGGCCAAUCAGAGCGGUUGCGCUGCGGCAGGGCUGACAUGUGGUCAAUCAGAACCUUCUGGGCGGAUCUCUGGAUAAUUGGGCAGACCGGUCACAGGUGCUAUGAACCCAUUAGUGGGCGGUGGGCCUCUCUGUGCCACCUGCCUGAGAGACGUACGCCCAGAGCAAGGCCAGGCCGCCAACGGUAGAGAGCUUCCUGGUGACAUCCUCUGAGCCUGUGGACCUGGGCCGGCCUGAGCCAUCUUGUCCUGGACUUCCAGAUUUAGGAUCCAAUGCACUCCUCUUUGUCGCUAAGACAAUUUAGACAUGGUUGAACAUGCUGGGCACAGGGGACAUGCCGGAAAACAAGACAGACACAGCCCCGGCCCAUCAAUCCUAGCGCCUGCGCAACGCUGGAGCAUCCCACCUUGCCCAUUCCUCCUCCUCCCACCCCAAGACCCCACCUUCACACACGCACACAUGCACACACACAUGCGCGCACGCUCAGCGGCUUCAUGUUCCCACACGCCUCCUUUCCUCUGCCCAGUCGCUCUUCCCCACCUCCCCUCUUCCUGCCUCGCAGUCCCCUGGCUAAUUCUUCUGAAAUCCUUGUGAAUCAAGCUCAGCUGUGGCCUCCCCUCCUCCACUCCCUCGGCCCUUUGCUCCCCCUCAUGCUCUAGGCUGUGGAGAGCCCGCCCGCCCCCGUUCCCAGCUUCCCCCGAGGUGGUGGGCCCUUGGCUCACAGCACAGUCCCCGUCCGGAGAACUUGGCAAACAUCUGCAGCGCCCAGCUGAGCCCCUGGAGCUCCUUCUUGUGGAUUAUAAACUUAAAGAACUUAUUUCAAGAAGCUUCCCAGACUGGAAGAGGAGGGGAGAGCCUCGGAAAAGUUCUAGAGGAGCCCAUUCUCAGCCAGUUCCUCCUGAGCCAUGGGGUAUGUGGGAGCACGUCUACAGCCCUGAGACCAAUGCUGUUCGCUCAUCAAUGAAUGUUCCCGGAGACUGGGGCCGGGGUCUCUGCCGGGCCGGAGAUGGGGGUGAAGGAGCCAAGACCACCUCCCUCAGGGUCCUGCCACCCUCUGCCUUCUGUCUUUCAUCAGAGCCUGGAGGCCCUGGGCUGGAGGCCAUGGGGUGUGGCUUGGGGACUGCUACCCGGAACGCAAAGUGUCAGAGCUGCAGAGGCUCCUGGGCUGUCGAAACACCCCCCAUACACAGAUGUACUCGGCCUGGGUUUCCAGGGCACUGGUGACAAACUGGGUUCAAGGCCCCGCAUCCCCUCAGGUGCAUAGGCCCUAGCGUAGGGCCUGAACACCUCACGUUCCUCUUUGCCGGGGCGUUUACUGAGUGUCUGCUCUGCAUCCAGCACUGUACACACAGCCCUCCCACAACCUUACAGUUUACAGAUGGGGAAAACGAGGGGCAGAGGCCUAAGGGACUGUGCAGGCCCCCACCCAGCUGGAUGAGGGGCAUUCAGGGUCACGAGCUCAGCCUGGUACCGCCCAAUCCCAGCGUUUCCUGAGAAUGGGGACUCGUCGGAGCUGAGCCCGCAAGACUGAGUGAGGGGGCUUCUCUGACACCCCAGGGGCAGGAACCCACAGGACAGAGUAGGUGGGGCCCUGGGCGGGGGAGACAAGAGGAGUUCCAGGGAGGAGAGAUAGCUGUGGCCUCAGCGCCUGGGCAGCACCUCCUCGUGGCUCUCCAUCCCACAAGCUUCCCACGGGAUCUGGCCACCCAGUACUCAUGGUAAAUCAUCAUAGGGCCUCUCCCUGAGGGUCUCCAGCACUUUCCAAAACACUCCGUACCUGCCUGGGGAGACCUGUGGGUCAGGGCCAUCAGCCUGGAUUUCUUUCCUUGCCUGGGUUUUAAUUCAAGCAGGUAUUUCAGGCCCAGACAAUGCUUUUCACAAAACUCCUUAUUUGUGCUAACAACACGAGGACUGAACGAAAAUGAAGUGGGAUGGUCCCAAACUGUCCAGGCUGGGGUCAGGAGCUCCCCCAGCCUGGGAGUGGUGGCCACCAUCUCCAUCACUGAUGGAGUGUAUGAGUCACCAUGGUGUGGGUCACCUGGUGUGUGAGUCACCCGGUAUGGGAAUCACCCAGUAGGUACCACUCGGAAGGGACUCAUCCCAUGAGACAGACGAGUUUCACACAAGUCAGCAGCACAGGUCCAUAAACCAUGUGCAGAGUCACAACUUUGCCCUAGGAGCAUCUUUGAAGGUCCUGCCCCUCCUGCAGCCCCUGUCCACCCCUCCACCUGUCACACCCCUGUGGCUGGGCAGCUACCGCCUGUCUCUAGGUAGAUCAUUGCUGGGACCUUUUGAAGAAUCUAGAACUGCAGGGAAGCAAAGGCGAGGGGCUUGUGAGCCAUGCUUGGCCCAAAGGCAGUGGUCCUCUGCCUAUGCGGAUCCCUGGGCUGUCUCCCUUGGACAAUGCAAACCAGCACCCACCAGCCACACCCCCUCUCAGACCCCAUCCUCCAGUCUCUGCUCCCCAAGCUUAUCCACCCCCAUUCCUCCUCAGGCGUAAGUCCUUCCUGGGAGCUCUGAAAGGGGGUAUGGACCCCUGGUUUGUCUCCGCGUUCUCAGGGCCCUGGAGCAGGCUUCAACAGAUCCAAUCACUAAUUCCUUGGUUCCCUCUGCCCUUCAUCCAUGCAAGGGUCACGUACAGAGCACAGGCUGUGAGUGUUGGAGAGACAACCCAGGAGCCGCUUCAGGCCGGAGUCUGACUCAAAGCACGGGCUCCUGCAGGGGUGCUACACCAGGCAACAACGGGGGCCGCCAGAGCACUGAGUCCACAUACGCUGCUCCUGAUCCGAAACUCCUGAACCCAAAAUAAAAGCCGUCGUCCCUCCCUCACUGCGCACACAGUAGAGGAACAGGGCCGGGGCCACAGAAACUCCUGCUCCCACUGGGAAAGGAACAGAACGGGAGACACGGCCACACGGCCGGUUGGAUUCUGAAAUCCUGCUGGGUAGACAGAAGGGAAACCCCCCCAGGAAGGAGAAUGUUCCUUAAUUAGGUCCUAACCCUGUUCGAGGCGAGGCUUGUGCUUCCGGGGCCUCGCUUGGCCCUUCAGGGAGGGCCCUCCUUCGCUGCUGUUCUCAAGGCCACACCUGGAGAGGGCGCCAGAAGAGCGUGUCCUUUCGCCCAGGCCCUGCAGCUCGUUCCCCAGCUUUCUGUAGGGCCAAGAUCCAAAGAUCACUUUAAGUCUCAGUUACACACCAUUUUGGUCCAGACUUUUGGUUUCUUUGGCAGUAGAUGGCUCUCAAAAACCUAAAAACGUAGUCAGCUUCUUACUGACUUAGUUCCAGUGGACUCCGUGUUCCUUUGUCCUUUGGGAGUUCUUGAAAAAUGCCUCUCUCGUGCUCUCGCUCCUUAAUUUCAGGAAUCUGCAUACUCAGUCUCUUCUCCAUGGGCUAGUUUGCCAACUAAAAGGAUUUAUUGGUCAUCGUCUCCUCCACUCAGGUGUUUCAAACAACGUAUGUGAUGAGCAAACCCUUAUUUUGGUCCCUGCUACCAGUCUGAGUUUUGACUGCCUUUUUUGCUCAAGCAUUUCUCCGUGUUAAUUUUUACUGUUUGGAAUUGAGAAGUAAUUGCCCCGUCCAACUGUACAAGUCCCGAGAUUUCUUGACUUUAUUCUCUUUUAUUUUCAGCCAACAGCAGCCAACACACUCUAUUAACAUUCUGCUUUAUGAAUGCUUCCCUUUAAACUGAGUGUUUAAUUACUUGGGUAAUUACCUAUUUUUUGAGAUAUCACAGGUGGUGCUGUUACCAAAUAUUUCACCAGCGCCUGACAUGGACACCAUGCUUCCAGCCUCUAAUACAGACUGUGAUCUCCCUUCCCGCAGUGGCGAACACUUACGCAAUAGCAGACUGAAUGCGUGGGGAGAAUAAAUCAAGAGUCCUGUUUCAGCCGAAAUAAUUUUGAGAUGCCUGUUAGACAUCCACUAUGCGUUUGGAAUUCAGGGAAGGGGUUGAUGAUUAAGUAUCAACGAGGGAAUCACUGGCCUCUUGUUUGUUUGUGUACUGAGAAACAGGAAU